UACGGAGGGUGCAAGCGUUAUCCGGAAUCAUUGGGUUUAAAGGGUCCGUAGGCGGGGAUUUAAGUCAGUGGUGAAAUGCAGGGGCUCAACUCCGGCACUGCCAUUGAUACUGGGUCUCUUGAAUCGCCGUGAAGUGGGCGGAAUAUGUAGUGUAGCGGUGAAAUGCUUAGAUAUUACAUGGAACACCGAUUGCGAAGGCAGCUCACUAACGGCGCAUUGACGCUGAUGGACGAAAGCGUGGGUAGCGAACAGG
rnacentral:rRNA from 1 species